CGAAAACAAAAACUGACUCCCGGCAUAUUUUUUUCGGCCUUUAUGGGCAGAGAACUUUAAUACCGCUCGAAAUGAGGCCACCCAGUAGUUAGGUGUGAAUUUUCGAGACCUUUGGCACCGUUCUAAGAUGGGUCCUCUCUUCGUAGGCUAAUGCAUUGGCCCUUUUUGACCCGUUUUGGGGCGAAAACAAAAACUGACUCCCGGGCAUAUUUUUUUCGGCCUUUAUGGGCAGAGAACUUUAAUACCGCUCAAAAUGAGGCCACCCAGUAGUUAGGUGUGAAUUUUCGAGACCUUUGGCACCGUUCUAAGAUGGGUCCUCUCUUCGUAGGCUAAUGCAUUGGCCCUUUUUGACCCGUUUUGGGGCGAAAACAAAAACUGACUCCCGGGCAUAUUUUUUUCGGCCUUUAUGGGCAGAGAACUUUAAUACCGCUCAAAAUGAGGCCACCCAGUAGUUAGGUGUGAAUUUUCGAGACCUUUGGCACCGUUCUAAGAUGGGUCCUCUCUUCGUAGGCUAAUGCAUUGGCCCUUUUUGACCCGUUUUGGGGCGAAAACAAAAACUGACUCCCGGGCAUAUUUUUUUCGGCCUUUAUGGGCAGAGAACUUUAAUACCGCUCAAAAUGAGGCCACCCAGUAGUUAGGUGUGAAUUUUCGAGACCUUUGGCACCGUUCUAAGAUGGGUCCUCUCUUCGUAGGCUAAUGCAUUGGCCCUUUUUGACCCGUUUUGGGGCGAAAACAAAAACUGACUCCCGGGCAUAUUUUUUUCGGCCUUUAUGGGCAGAGAACUUUAAUACCGCUCGAAAUGAGGCCACCCAGUAGUUAGGUGUGAAUUUUCGAGACCUUUGGCACCGUUCUAAGAUGGGUCCUCUCUUCGUAGGCUAAUGCAUUGGCCCUUUUUGACCCGUUUUGGGGCGAAAACAAAAACUGACUCCCGGGCAUAUUUUUUUCGGCCUUUAUGGGCAGAGAACUUUAAUACCGCUCAAAAUGAGGCCACCCAGUAGUUAGGUGUGAAUUUUCGAGACCUUUGGCACCGUUCUAAGAUGGGUCCUCUCUUCGUAGGCUAAUGCAUUGGCCCUUUUUGACCCGUUUUGGGGCGAAAACAAAAACUGACUCCCGGGCAUAUUUUUUUCGGCCUUUAUGGGCAGAGAACUUUAAUGCCGCUCGGAAUGAGGCCACCCAGUAGUUAGGUGUGAAUUUUCGAGACCUUUGGCACCGUUCUAAGAUGGGUCCUCUCUUCGUAGGCUAAUGCAUUGGCCCUUUUUGACCCGUUUUGGGGCGAAAACAAAAACUGACUCCCGGGCAUAUUUUUUUUCGGCCUUUAUGGGCAGAGAACUUUAAUGCCGCUCGGAAUGAGGCCACCCAGUAGUUAGGUGUGAAUUUUCGAGACCUUUGGCACCGUUCUAAGAUGGGUCCUCUCUUCGUAGGCUAAUGCAUUGGCCCUUUUUGACCCGUUUUGGGGCGAAAACAAAAACUGACUCCCGGGCAUAUUUUUUUCGGCCUUUAUGGGCAGAGAACUUUAAUGCCGCUCAGAAUGAGGCCACCCAGUAGUUAGGUGUGAAUUUUCGAGACCUUUGGCACCGUUCUAAGAUGGGUCCUCUCUUCGUAGGCUAAUGCAUUGGCCCUUUUUGACCCGUUUUGGGGCGAAAACAAAAACUGACUCCCGGGCAUAUUUUUUUUCGGCCUUUAUGGGCAGAGAACUUUAAUGCCGCUCAGAAUGAGGCCACCCAGUAGUUAGGUGUGAAUUUUCGAGACCUUUGGCACCGUUCUAAGAUGGGUCCUCUCUUCGUAGGCUAAUGCAUUGGCCCUUUUUGACCCGUUUUGGGGCGAAAACAAAAACUGACUCCCGGGCAUAUUUUUUUCGGCCUUUAUGGGCAGAGAACUUUAAUGCCGCUCGGAAUGAGGCCACCCAGUAGUUAGGUGUGAAUUUUCGAGACCUUUGGCACCGUUCUAAGAUGGGUCCUCUCUUCGUAGGCUAAUGCAUUGGCCCUUUUUGACCCGUUUUGGGGCGAAAACAAAAACUGACUCCCGGGCAUAUUUUUUUCGGCCUUUAUGGGCAGAGAACUUUAAUGCCGCUCGGAAUGAGGCCACCCAGUAGUUAGGUGUGAAUUUUCGAGACCUUUGGCACCGUUCUAAGAUGGGUCCUCUCUUCGUAGGCUAAUGCAUUGGCCCUUUUUUGACCCGUUUUGGGGCGAAAACAAAAACUGACUCCCGGGCAUAUUUUUUUCGGCCUUUAUGGGCAGAGAACUUUAAUGCCGCUCAGAAUGAGGCCACCCAGUAGUUAGGUGUGAAUUUUCGAGACCUUUGGCACCGUUCUAAGAUGGGUCCUCUCUUCGUAGGCUAAUGCAUUGGCCCUUUUUGACCCGUUUUGGGGCGAAAACAAAAACUGACUCCCGGGCAUAUUUUUUUCGGCCUUUAUGGGCAGAGAACUUUAAUGCCGCUCAGAAUGAGGCCACCCAGUAGUUAGGUGUGAAUUUUCGAGACCUUUGGCACCGUUCUAAGAUGGGUCCUCUCUUCGUAGGCUAAUGCAUUGGCCCUUUUUGACCCGUUUUGGGGCGAAAACAAAAACUGACUCCCGGGCAUAUUUUUUUCGGCCUUUAUGGGCAGAGAACUUUAAUGCCGCUCAGAAUGAGGCCACCCAGUAGUUAGGUGUGAAUUUUCGAGACCUUUGGCACCGUUCUAAGAUGGGUCCUCUCUUCGUAGGCUAAUGCAUUGGCCCUUUUUGACCCGUUUUGGGGCGAAAACAAAAACUGACUCCCGGGCAUAUUUUUUUCGGCCUUUAUGGGCAGAGAACUUUAAUGCCGCUCAGAAUGAGGCCACCCAGUAGUUAGGUGUGAAUUUUCGAGACCUUUGGCACCGUUCUAAGAUGGGUCCUCUCUUCGUAGGCUAAUGCAUUGGCCCUUUUUGACCCGUUUUGGGGCGAAAACAAAAACUGACUCCCGGGCAUAUUUUUUUUCGGCCUUUAUGGGCAGAGAACUUUAAUGCCGCUCAGAAUGAGGCCACCCAGUAGUUAGGUGUGAAUUUUCGAGACCUUUGGCACCGUUCUAAGAUGGGUCCUCUCUUCGUAGGCUAAUGCAUUGGCCCUUUUUGACCCGUUUUGGGGCGAAAACAAAAACUGACUCCCGGGCAUAUUUUUUUCGGCCUUUAUGGGCAGAGAACUUUAAUGCCGCUCAGAAUGAGGCCACCCAGUAGUUAGGUGUGAAUUUUCGAGACCUCUGGCACCGUUCUAAGAUGGGUCCUCUCUUCGUAGGCUAAUGCAUUGGCCCUUUUUGACCCGUUUUGGGGCGAAAACAAAAACUGACUCCCGGGCAUAUUUUUUUCGGCCUUUAUGGGCAGAGAACUUUAAUGCCGCUCAGAAUGAGGCCACCCAGUAGUUAGGUGUGAAUUUUCGAGACCUCUGGCACCGUUCUAAGAUGGGUCCUCUCUUCGUAGGCUAAUGCAUUGGCCCUUUUUGACCCGUUUUGGGGCGAAAACAAAAACUGACUCCCGGGCAUAUUUUUUUCGGCCUUUAUGGGCAGAGAACUUUAAUGCCGCUCAGAAUGAGGCCACCCAGUAGUUAGGUGUGAAUUUUCGAGACCUCUGGCACCGUUCUAAGAUGGGUCCUCUCUUCGUAGGCUAAUGCAUUGGCCCUUUUUGACCCGUUUUGGGGCGAAAACAAAAACUGACUCCCGGGCAUAUUUUUUUCGGCCUUUAUGGGCAGAGAACUUUAAUGCCGCUCAGAAUGAGGCCACCCAGUAGUUAGGUGUGAAUUUUCGAGACCUCUGGCACCGUUCUAAGAUGGGUCCUCUCUUCGUAGGCUAAUGCAUUGGCCCUUUUUGACCCGUUUUGGGGCGAAAACAAAAACUGACUCCCGGGCAUAUUUUUUUCGGCCUUUAUGGGCAGAGAACUUUAAUGCCGCUCAGAAUGAGGCCACCCAGUAGUUAGGUGUGAAUUUUCGAGACCUCUGGCACCGUUCUAAGAUGGGUCCUCUCUUCGUAGGCUAAUGCAUUGGCCCUUUUUGACCCGUUUUGGGGCGAAAACAAAAACUGACUCCCGGGCAUAUUUUUUUCGGCCUUUAUGGGCAGAGAACUUUAAUGCCGCUCAGAAUGAGGCCACCCAGUAGUUAGGUGUGAAUUUUCGAGACCUCUGGCACCGUUCUAAGAUGGGUCCUCUCUUCGUAGGCUAAUGCAUUGGCCCUUUUUGACCCGUUUUGGGGCGAAAACAAAAACUGACUCCCGGGCAUAUUUUUUUCGGCCUUUAUGGGCAGAGAACUUUAAUGCCGCUCAGAAUGAGGCCACCCAGUAGUUAGGUGUGAAUUUUCGAGACCUCUGGCACCGUUCUAAGAUGGGUCCUCUCUUCGUAGGCUAAUGCAUUGGCCCUUUUUGACCCGUUUUGGGGCGAAAACAAAAACUGACUCCCGGGCAUAUUUUUUUCGGCCUUUAUGGGCAGAGAACUUUAAUGCCGCUCAGAAUGAGGCCACCCAGUAGUUAGGUGUGAAUUUUCGAGACCUCUGGCACCGUUCUAAGAUGGGUCCUCUCUUCGUAGGCUAAUGCAUUGGCCCUUUUUGACCCGUUUUGGGGCGAAAACAAAAACUGACUCCCGGGCAUAUUUUUUUCGGCCUUUAUGGGCAGAGAACUUUAAUGCCGCUCAGAAUGAGGCCACCCAGUAGUUAGGUGUGAAUUUUCGAGACCUCUGGCACCGUUCUAAGAUGGGUCCUCUCUUCGUAGGCUAAUGCAUUGGCCCUUUUUGACCCGUUUUGGGGCGAAAACAAAAACUGACUCCCGGGCAUAUUUUUUUCGGCCUUUUAUGGGCAGAGAACUUUAAUGCCGCUCAGAAUGAGGCCACCCAGUAGUUAGGUGUGAAUUUUCGAGACCUCUGGCACCGUUCUAAGAUGGGUCCUCUCUUCGUAGGCUAAUGCAUUGGCCCUUUUUGACCCGUUUUGGGGCGAAAACAAAAACUGACUCCCGGGCAUAUUUUUUUCGGCCUUUAUGGGCAGAGAACUUUAAUGCCGCUCAGAAUGAGGCCACCCAGUAGUUAGGUGUGAAUUUUCGAGACCUCUGGCACCGUUCUAAGAUGGGUCCUCUCUUCGUAGGCUAAUGCAUUGGCCCUUUUUGACCCGUUUUGGGGCGAAAACAAAAACUGACUCCCGGGCAUAUUUUUUUCGGCCUUUAUGGGCAGAGAACUUUAAUGCCGCUCAGAAUGAGGCCACCCAGUAGUUAGGUGUGAAUUUUCGAGACCUCUGGCACCGUUCUAAGAUGGGUCCUCUCUUCGUAGGCUAAUGCAUUGGCCCUUUUUGACCCGUUUUGGGGCGAAAACAAAAACUGACUCCCGGGCAUAUUUUUUUCGGCCUUUAUGGGCAGAGAACUUUAAUGCCGCUCAGAAUGAGGCCACCCAGUAGUUAGGUGUGAAUUUUCGAGACCUCUGGCACCGUUCUAAGAUGGGUCCUCUCUUCGUAGGCUAAUGCAUUGGCCCUUUUUGACCCGUUUUGGGGCGAAAACAAAAACUGACUCCCGGGCAUAUUUUUUUCGGCCUUUAUGGGCAGAGAACUUUAAUGCCGCUCAGAAUGAGGCCACCCAGUAGUUAGGUGUGAAUUUUCGAGACCUCUGGCACCGUUCUAAGAUGGGUCCUCUCUUCGUAGGCUAAUGCAUUGGCCCUUUUUGACCCGUUUUGGGGCGAAAAAAAAAAACUGACUCCCGGGCAUAUUUUUUUCGGCCUUUAUGGGCAGAGAACUUUAAUGCCGCUCAGAAUGAGGCCACCCAGUAGUUAGGUGUGAAUUUUCGAGACCUCUGGCACCGUUCUAAGAUGGGUCCUCUCUUCGUAGGCUAAUGCAUUGGCCCUUUUUGACCCGUUUUGGGGCGAAAACAAAAACUGACUCCCGGGCAUAUUUUUUUCGGCCUUUAUGGGCAGAGAACUUUAAUGCCGCUCAGAAUGAGGCCACCCAGUAGUUAGGUGUGAAUUUUCGAGACCUCUGGCACCGUUCUAAGAUGGGUCCUCUCUUCGUAGGCUAAUGCAUUGGCCCUUUUUGACCCGUUUUGGGGCGAAAACAAAAACUGACUCCCGGGCAUAUUUUUUUCGGCCUUUAUGGGCAGAGAACUUUAAUGCCGCUCAGAAUGAGGCCACCCAGUAGUUAGGUGUGAAUUUUCGAGACCUCUGGCACCGUUCUAAGAUGGGUCCUCUCUUCGUAGGCUAAUGCAUUGGCCCUUUUUGACCCGUUUUGGGGCGAAAACAAAAACUGACUCCCGGGCAUAUUUUUUUCGGCCUUUAUGGGCAGAGAACUUUAAUGCCGCUCAGAAUGAGGCCACCCAGUAGUUAGGUGUGAAUUUUCGAGACCUCUGGCACCGUUCUAAGAUGGGUCCUCUCUUCGUAGGCUAAUGCAUUGGCCCUUUUUGACCCGUUUUGGGGCGAAAACAAAAACUGACUCCCGGGCAUAUUUUUUUCGGCCUUUAUGGGCAGAGAACUUUAAUGCCGCUCAGAAUGAGGCCACCCAGUAGUUAGGUGUGAAUUUUCGAGACCUCUGGCACCGUUCUAAGAUGGGUCCUCUCUUCGUAGGCUAAUGCAUUGGCCCUUUUUGACCCGUUUUGGGGCGAAAACAAAAACUGACUCCCGGGCAUAUUUUUUUCGGCCUUUAUGGGCAGAGAACUUUAAUGCCGCUCAGAAUGAGGCCACCCAGUAGUUAGGUGUGAAUUUUCGAGACCUCUGGCACCGUUCUAAGAUGGGUCCUCUCUUCGUAGGCUAAUGCAUUGGCCCUUUUUGACCCGUUUUGGGGCGAAAACAAAAACUGACUCCCGGGCAUAUUUUUUUCGGCCUUUAUGGGCAGAGAACUUUAAUACCGCUCAGAAUGAGGCCACCCAGUAGUUAGGUGUGAAUUUUCGAGACCUCUGGCACCGUUCUAAGAUGGGUCCUCUCUUCGUAGGCUAAUGCAUUGGCCCUUUUUGACCCGUUUUGGGGCGAAAACAAAAACUGACUCCCGGGCAUAUUUUUUUCGGCCUUUAUGGGCAGAGAACUUUAAUGCCGCUCAGAAUGAGGCCACCCAGUAGUUAGGUGUGAAUUUUCGAGACCUCUGGCACCGUUCUAAGAUGGGUCCUCUCUUCGUAGGCUAAUGCAUUGGCCCUUUUUGACCCGUUUUGGGGCGAAAACAAAAACUGACUCCCGGGCAUAUUUUUUUCGGCCUUUAUGGGCAGAGAACUUUAAUACCGCUCAGAAUGAGGCCACCCAGUAGUUAGGUGUGAAUUUUCGAGACCUCUGGCACCGUUCUAAGAUGGGUCCUCUCUUCGUAGGCUAAUGCAUUGGCCCUUUUUGACCCGUUUUGGGGCGAAAACAAAAACUGACUCCCGGGCAUAUUUUUUUCGGCCUUUAUGGGCAGAGAACUUUAAUACCGCUCAGAAUGAGGCCACCCAGUAGUUAGGUGUGAAUUUUCGAGACCUCUGGCACCGUUCUAAGAUGGGUCCUCUCUUCGUAGGCUAAUGCAUUGGCCCUUUUUGACCCGUUUUGGGGCGAAAACAAAAACUGACUCCCGGGCAUAUUUUUUUCGGCCUUUAUGGGCAGAGAACUUUAAUACCGCUCAGAAUGAGGCCACCCAGUAGUUAGGUGUGAAUUUUCGAGACCUCUGGCACCGUUCUAAGAUGGGUCCUCUCUUCGUAGGCUAAUGCAUUGGCCCUUUUUGACCCGUUUUGGGGCGAAAACAAAAACUGACUCCCGGGCAUAUUUUUUUCGGCCUUUAUGGGCAGAGAACUUUAAUACCGCUCAGAAUGAGGCCACCCAGUAGUUAGGUGUGAAUUUUCGAGACCUCUGGCACCGUUCUAAGAUGGGUCCUCUCUUCGUAGGCUAAUGCAUUGGCCCUUUUUGACCCGUUUUGGGGCGAAAACAAAAACUGACUCCCGGGCAUAUUUUUUUCGGCCUUUAUGGGCAGAGAACUUUAAUGCCGCUCAGAAUGAGGCCACCCAGUAGUUAGGUGUGAAUUUUCGAGACCUCUGGCACCGUUCUAAGAUGGGUCCUCUCUUCGUAGGCUAAUGCAUUGGCCCUUUUUGACCCGUUUUGGGGCGAAAACAAAAACUGACUCCCGGGCAUAUUUUUUUCGGCCUUUAUGGGCAGAGAACUUUAAUACCGCUCAGAAUGAGGCCACCCAGUAGUUAGGUGUGAAUUUUCGAGACCUCUGGCACCGUUCUAAGAUGGGUCCUCUCUUCGUAGGCUAAUGCAUUGGCCCUUUUUGACCCGUUUUGGGGCGAAAACAAAAACUGACUCCCGGGCAUAUUUUUUUCGGCCUUUAUGGGCAGAGAACUUUAAUGCCGCUCAGAAUGAGGCCACCCAGUAGUUAGGUGUGAAUUUUCGAGACCUCUGGCACCGUUCUAAGAUGGGUCCUCUCUUCGUAGGCUAAUGCAUUGGCCCUUUUUGACCCGUUUUGGGGCGAAAACAAAAACUGACUCCCGGGCAUAUUUUUUUCGGCCUUUAUGGGCAGAGAACUUUAAUGCCGCUCAGAAUGAGGCCACCCAGUAGUUAGGUGUGAAUUUUCGAGACCUCUGGCACCGUUCUAAGAUGGGUCCUCUCUUCGUAGGCUAAUGCAUUGGCCCUUUUUGACCCGUUUUGGGGCGAAAACAAAAACUGACUCCCGGGCAUAUUUUUUUCGGCCUUUAUGGGCAGAGAACUUUAAUACCGCUCAGAAUGAGGCCACCCAGUAGUUAGGUGUGAAUUUUCGAGACCUCUGGCACCGUUCUAAGAUGGGUCCUCUCUUCGUAGGCUAAUGCAUUGGCCCUUUUUGACCCGUUUUGGGGCGAAAACAAAAACUGACUCCCGGGCAUAUUUUUUUCGGCCUUUAUGGGCAGAGAACUUUAAUGCCGCUCAGAAUGAGGCCACCCAGUAGUUAGGUGUGAAUUUUCGAGACCUCUGGCACCGUUCUAAGAUGGGUCCUCUCUUCGUAGGCUAAUGCAUUGGCCCUUUUUGACCCGUUUUGGGGCGAAAACAAAAACUGACUCCCGGGCAUAUUUUUUUCGGCCUUUAUGGGCAGAGAACUUUAAUGCCGCUCAGAAUGAGGCCACCCAGUAGUUAGGUGUGAAUUUUCGAGACCUCUGGCACCGUUCUAAGAUGGGUCCUCUCUUCGUAGGCUAAUGCAUUGGCCCUUUUUGACCCGUUUUGGGGCGAAAACAAAAACUGACUCCCGGGCAUAUUUUUUUCGGCCUUUAUGGGCAGAGAACUUUAAUGCCGCUCAGAAUGAGGCCACCCAGUAGUUAGGUGUGAAUUUUCGAGACCUCUGGCACCGUUCUAAGAUGGGUCCUCUCUUCGUAGGCUAAUGCAUUGGCCCUUUUUGACCCGUUUUGGGGCGAAAACAAAAACUGACUCCCGGGCAUAUUUUUUUCGGCCUUUAUGGGCAGAGAACUUUAAUGCCGCUCAGAAUGAGGCCACCCAGUAGUUAGGUGUGAAUUUUCGAGACCUCUGGCACCGUUCUAAGAUGGGUCCUCUCUUCGUAGGCUAAUGCAUUGGCCCUUUUUGACCCGUUUUGGGGCGAAAACAAAAACUGACUCCCGGGCAUAUUUUUUUCGGCCUUUAUGGGCAGAGAACUUUAAUGCCGCUCAGAAUGAGGCCACCCAGUAGUUAGGUGUGAAUUUUCGAGACCUCUGGCACCGUUCUAAGAUGGGUCCUCUCUUCGUAGGCUAAUGCAUUGGCCCUUUUUGACCCGUUUUGGGGCGAAAACAAAAACUGACUCCCGGGCAUAUUUUUUUCGGCCUUUAUGGGCAGAGAACUUUAAUGCCGCUCAGAAUGAGGCCACCCAGUAGUUAGGUGUGAAUUUUCGAGACCUCUGGCACCGUUCUAAGAUGGGUCCUCUCUUCGUAGGCUAAUGCAUUGGCCCUUUUUGACCCGUUUUGGGGCGAAAACAAAAACUGACUCCCGGGCAUAUUUUUUUCGGCCUUUAUGGGCAGAGAACUUUAAUGCCGCUCAGAAUGAGGCCACCCAGUAGUUAGGUGUGAAUUUUCGAGACCUCUGGCACCGUUCUAAGAUGGGUCCUCUCUUCGUAGGCUAAUGCAUUGGCCCUUUUUGACCCGUUUUGGGGCGAAAACAAAAACUGACUCCCGGGCAUAUUUUUUUCGGCCUUUAUGGGCAGAGAACUUUAAUGCCGCUCAGAAUGAGGCCACCCAGUAGUUAGGUGUGAAUUUUCGAGACCUCUGGCACCGUUCUAAGAUGGGUCCUCUCUUCGUAGGCUAAUGCAUUGGCCCUUUUUGACCCGUUUUGGGGCGAAAACAAAAACUGACUCCCGGGCAUAUUUUUUUCGGCCUUUAUGGGCAGAGAACUUUAAUGCCGCUCAGAAUGAGGCCACCCAGUAGUUAGGUGUGAAUUUUCGAGACCUCUGGCACCGUUCUAAGAUGGGUCCUCUCUUCGUAGGCUAAUGCAUUGGCCCUUUUUGACCCGUUUUGGGGCGAAAACAAAAACUGACUCCCGGGCAUAUUUUUUUCGGCCUUUAUGGGCAGAGAACUUUAAUGCCGCUCAGAAUGAGGCCACCCAGUAGUUAGGUGUGAAUUUUCGAGACCUCUGGCACCGUUCUAAGAUGGGUCCUCUCUUCGUAGGCUAAUGCAUUGGCCCUUUUUGACCCGUUUUGGGGCGAAAACAAAAACUGACUCCCGGGCAUAUUUUUUUCGGCCUUUAUGGGCAGAGAACUUUAAUGCCGCUCAGAAUGAGGCCACCCAGUAGUUAGGUGUGAAUUUUCGAGACCUCUGGCACCGUUCUAAGAUGGGUCCUCUCUUCGUAGGCUAAUGCAUUGGCCCUUUUUGACCCGUUUUGGGGCGAAAACAAAAACUGACUCCCGGGCAUAUUUUUUUCGGCCUUUAUGGGCAGAGAACUUUAAUACCGCUCAGAAUGAGGCCACCCAGUAGUUAGGUGUGAAUUUUCGAGACCUCUGGCACCGUUCUAAGAUGGGUCCUCUCUUCGUAGGCUAAUGCAUUGGCCCUUUUUGACCCGUUUUGGGGCGAAAACAAAAACUGACUCCCGGGCAUAUUUUUUUCGGCCUUUAUGGGCAGAGAACUUUAAUGCCGCUCAGAAUGAGGCCACCCAGUAGUUAGGUGUGAAUUUUCGAGACCUCUGGCACCGUUCUAAGAUGGGUCCUCUCUUCGUAGGCUAAUGCAUUGGCCCUUUUUGACCCGUUUUGGGGCGAAAACAAAAACUGACUCCCGGGCAUAUUUUUUUCGGCCUUUAUGGGCAGAGAACUUUAAUACCGCUCAGAAUGAGGCCACCCAGUAGUUAGGUGUGAAUUUUCGAGACCUCUGGCACCGUUCUAAGAUGGGUCCUCUCUUCGUAGGCUAAUGCAUUGGCCCUUUUUGACCCGUUUUGGGGCGAAAACAAAAACUGACUCCCGGGCAUAUUUUUUUCGGCCUUUAUGGGCAGAGAACUUUAAUGCCGCUCAGAAUGAGGCCACCCAGUAGUUAGGUGUGAAUUUUCGAGACCUCUGGCACCGUUCUAAGAUGGGUCCUCUCUUCGUAGGCUAAUGCAUUGGCCCUUUUUGACCCGUUUUGGGGCGAAAACAAAAACUGACUCCCGGGCAUAUUUUUUUCGGCCUUUAUGGGCAGAGAACUUUAAUGCCGCUCAGAAUGAGGCCACCCAGUAGUUAGGUGUGAAUUUUCGAGACCUCUGGCACCGUUCUAAGAUGGGUCCUCUCUUCGUAGGGCUAAUGCAUUGGCCCUUUUUGACCCGUUUUGGGGCGAAAACAAAAACUGACUCCCGGGCAUAUUUUUUUCGGCCUUUAUGGGCAGAGAACUUUAAUACCGCUCAGAAUGAGGCCACCCAGUAGUUAGGUGUGAAUUUUCGAGACCUCUGGCACCGUUCUAAGAUGGGUCCUCUCUUCGUAGGCUAAUGCAUUGGCCCUUUUUGACCCGUUUUGGGGCGAAAACAAAAACUGACUCCCGGGCAUAUUUUUUUCGGCCUUUAUGGGCAGAGAACUUUAAUGCCGCUCAGAAUGAGGCCACCCAGUAGUUAGGUGUGAAUUUUCGAGACCUCUGGCACCGUUCUAAGAUGGGUCCUCUCUUCGUAGGCUAAUGCAUUGGCCCUUUUUGACCCGUUUUGGGGCGAAAACCAAAAACUGACUCCCGGGCAUAUUUUUUUCGGCCUUUAUGGGCAGAGAACUUUAAUACCGCUCAGAAUGAGGCCACCACCCAGUAGUUAGGUGUGAAUUUUCGAGACCUCUGGCACCGUUCUAAGAUGGGUCCUCUCUUCGUAGGCUAAUGCAUUGGCCCUUUUUGACCCGUUUUGGGGCGAAAACAAAAACUGACUCCCGGGCAUAUUUUUUUCGGCCUUUAUGGGCAGAGAAACUUUAAUGCCGCUCAGAAUGAGGCCACCCAGUAGUUAGGUGUGAAUUUUCGAGACCUCUGGCACCGUUCUAAGAUGGGUCCUCUCUUCGUAGGCUAAUGCAUUGGCCCUUUUUGACCCGUUUUGGGGCGAAAACAAAAACUGACUCCCGGGCAUAUUUUUUUCGGCCUUUAUGGGCAGAGAACUUUAAUACCGCUCAGAAUGAGGCCACCCAGUAGUUAGGUGUGAAUUUUCGAGACCUCUGGCACCGUUCUAAGAUGGGUCCUCUCUUCGUAGGCUAAUGCAUUGGCCCUUUUUGACCCGUUUUGGGGCGAAAACAAAAACUGACUCCCGGGCAUAUUUUUUUCGGCCUUUAUGGGCAAAGAACUUUAAUGCCGCUCAGAAUGAGGCCACCCAGUAGUUAGGUGUGAAUUUUCGAGACCUCUGGCACCGUUCUAAGAUGGGUCCUCUCUUCGUAGGCUAAUGCAUUGGCCCUUUUUGACCCGUUUUGGGGCGAAAAACAAAAACUGACUCCCGGGCAUAUUUUUUUCGGCCUUUAUGGGCAAAGAACUUUAAUGCCGCUCAGAAUGAGGCCACCCAGUAGUUAGGUGUGAAUUUUCGAGACCUCUGGCACCGUUCUAAGAUGGGUCCUCUCUUCGUAGGCUAAUGCAUUGGCCCUUUUUGACCCGUUUUGGGGCGAAAACAAAAAACUGACUCCCGGGCAUAUUUUUUUCGGCCUUUAUGGGCAGAGAACUUUAAUGCCGCUCAGAAUGAGGCCACCCAGUAGUUAGGUGUGAAUUUUCGAGACCUCUGGCACCGUUCUAAGAUGGGUCCUCUCUUCGUAGGCUAAUGCAUUGGCCCUUUUUGACCCGUUUUGGGGCGAAAACAAAAACUGACUCCCGGGCAUAUUUUUUUCGGCCUUUAUGGGCAGAGAACUUUAAUACCGCUCAGAAUGAGGCCACCCAGUAGUUAGGUGUGAAUUUUCGAGACCUCUGGCACCGUUCUAAGAUGGGUCCUCUCUUCGUAGGCUAAUGCAUUGGCCCUUUUUGACCCGUUUUGGGGCGAAAACAAAAACUGACUCCCGGGCAUAUUUUUUUCGGCCUUUAUGGGCAGAGAACUUUAAUACCGCUCAGAAUGAGGCCACCCAGUAGUUAGGUGUGAAUUUUCGAGACCCUCUGGCACCGUUCUAAGAUGGGUCCUCUCUUCGUAGGCUAAUGCAUUGGCCCUUUUUGACCCGUUUUGGGGCGAAAACAAAAACUGACUCCCGGGCAUAUUUUUUUCGGCCUUUAUGGGCAGAGAACUUUAAUACCGCUCAGAAUGAGGCCACCCAGUAGUUAGGUGUGAAUUUUCGAGACCUCUUGGCACCGUUCUAAGAUGGGUCCUCUCUUCGUAGGCUAAUGCAUUGGCCCUUUUUGACCCGUUUUGGGGCGAAAACAAAAACUGACUCCCGGGCAUAUUUUUUUCGGCCUUUAUGGGCAGAGAACUUUAAUGCCGCUCAGAAUGAGGCCACCCAGUAGUUAGGUGUGAAUUUUCGAGACCUCUGGCACCGUUCUAAGAUGGGUCCUCUCUUCGUAGGCUAAUGCAUUGGCCCUUUUUGACCCGUUUUGGGGCGAAAACAAAAACUGACUCCCGGGCAUAUUUUUUUCGGCCUUUAUGGGCAGAGAACUUUAAUACCGCUCAAAAAUGAGGCCACCCAGUAGUUAGGUGUGAAUUUUCGAGACCUCUGGCACCGUUCUAAGAUGGGUCCUCUCUUCGUAGGCUAAUGCAUUGGCCCUUUUUGACCCGUUUUGGGGCGAAAACAAAAACUGACUCCCGGGCAUAUUUUUUUCGGCCUUUAUGGGCAGAGAACUUUAAUACCGCUCAGAAUGAGGCCACCCAGUAGUUAGGUGUGAAUUUUCGAGACCUUUGGCACCGUUCUAAGAUGGGUCCUCUCUUCGUAGGCUAAUGCAUUGGCCCUUUUUGACCCGUUUUGGGGCGAAAACAAAAACUGACUCCCGGGCAUAUUUUUUUCGGCCUUUAUGGGCAGAGAACUUUAAUGCCGCUCAGAAUGAGGCCACCCAGUAGUUAGGUGUGAAUUUUCGAGACCUCUGGCACCGUUCUAAGAUGGGUCCUCUCUUCGUAGGCUAAUGCAUUGGCCCUUUUUGACCCGUUUUGGGGCGAAAACAAAAACUGACUCCCGGGCAUAUUUUUUUCGGCCUUUAUGGGCAGAGAACUUUAAUGCCGCUCAGAAUGAGGCCACCCAGUAGUUAGGUGUGAAUUUUCGAGACCUCUGGCACCGUUCUAAGAUGGGUCCUCUCUUCGUAGGCUAAUGCAUUGGCCCUUUUUGACCCGUUUUGGGGCGAAAACAAAAACUGACUCCCGGGCAUAUUUUUUUCGGCCUUUAUGGGCAGAGAACUUUAAUACCGCUCAGAAUGAGGCCACCCAGUAGUUAGGUGUGAAUUUUCGAGACCUCUGGCACCGUUCUAAGAUGGGUCCUCUCUUCGUAGGCUAAUGCAUUGGCCCUUUUUGACCCGUUUUGGGGCGAAAACAAAAACUGACUCCCGGGCAUAUUUUUUUCGGCCUUUAUGGGCAGAGAACUUUAAUACCGCUCAGAAUGAGGCCACCCAGUAGUUAGGUGUGAAUUUUCGAGACCUCUGGCACCGUUCUAAGAUGGGUCCUCUCUUCGUAGGCUAAUGCAUUGGCCCUUUUUGACCCGUUUUGGGGCGAAAACAAAAACUGACUCCCGGGCAUAUUUUUUUCGGCCUUUAUGGGCAGAGAACUUUAAUACCGCUCAGAAUGAGGCCACCCAGUAGUUAGGUGUGAAUUUUCGAGACCUUCUGGCACCGUUCUAAGAUGGGUCCUCUCUUCGUAGGCUAAUGCAUUGGCCCUUUUUGACCCGUUUUGGGGCGAAAACAAAAACUGACUCCCGGGCAUAUUUUUUUCGGCCUUUAUGGGCAGAGAACUUUAAUGCCGCUCAGAAUGAGGCCACCCAGUAGUUAGGUGUGAAUUUUCGAGACCUCUGGCACCGUUCUAAGAUGGGUCCUCUCUUCGUAGGCUAAUGCAUUGGCCCUUUUUGACCCGUUUUGGGGCGAAAACAAAAACUGACUCCCGGGCAUAUUUUUUUCGGCCUUUAUGGGCAGAGAACUUUAAUACCGCUCAGAAUGAGGCCACCCAGUAGUUAGGUGUGAAUUUUCGAGACCUCUGGCACCGUUCUAAGAUGGGUCCUCUCUUCGUAGGCUAAUGCAUUGGCCCUUUUUGACCCGUUUUGGGGCGAAAACAAAAACUGACUCCCGGGCAUAUUUUUUUCGGCCUUUAUGGGCAGAGAACUUUAAUACCGCUCAGAAUGAGGCCACCCAGUAGUUAGGUGUGAAUUUUCGAGACCUCUGGCACCGUUCUAAGAUGGGUCCUCUCUUCGUAGGCUAAUGCAUUGGCCCUUUUUGACCCGUUUUGGGGCGAAAACAAAAACUGACUCCCGGGCAUAUUUUUUUCGGCCUUUAUGGGCAGAGAACUUUAAUGCCGCUCAGAAUGAGGCCACCCAGUAGUUAGGUGUGAAUUUUCGAGACCUCUGGCACCGUUCUAAGAUGGGUCCUCUCUUCGUAGGCUAAUGCAUUGGCCCUUUUUGACCCGUUUUGGGGCGAAAACAAAAACUGACUCCCGGGCAUAUUUUUUUCGGCCUUUAUGGGCAGAGAACUUUAAUACCGCUCAGAAAUGAGGCCACCCAGUAGUUAGGUGUGAAUUUUCGAGACCUCUGGCACCGUUCUAAGAUGGGUCCUCUCUUCGUAGGCUAAUGCAUUGGCCCUUUUUGACCCGUUUUGGGGCGAAAACAAAAACUGACUCCCGGGCAUAUUUUUUUCGGCCUUUAUGGGCAGAGAACUUUAAUACCGCUCAGAAUGAGGCCACCCAGUAGUUAGGUGUGAAUUUUCGAGACCUCUCGGCACCGUUCUAAGAUGGGUCCUCUCUUCGUAGGCUAAUGCAUUGGCCCUUUUUGACCCGUUUUGGGGCGAAAACAAAAACUGACUCCCGGGCAUAUUUUUUUCGGCCUUUAUGGGCAGAGAACUUUAAUGCCGCUCAGAAAUGAGGCCACCCAGUAGUUAGGUGUGAAUUUUCGAGACCUCUGGCACCGUUCUAAGAUGGGUCCUCUCUUCGUAGGCUAAUGCAUUGGCCCUUUUUGACCCGUUUUGGGGCGAAAACAAAAACUGACUCCCGGGCAUAUUUUUUUCGGCCUUUAUGGGCAGAGAACUUUAAUACCGCUCAGAAUGAGGCCACCCAGUAGUUAGGUGUGAAUUUUCGAGACCUCUGGCACCGUUCUAAGAUGGGUCCUCUCUUCGUAGGCUAAUGCAUUGGCCCUUUUUGACCCGUUUUGGGGCGAAAACAAAAACUGACUCCCGGGCAUAUUUUUUUCGGCCUUUAUGGGCAGAGAACUUUAAUACCGCUCAGAAUGAGGCCACCCAGUAGUUAGGUGUGAAUUUUCGAGACCUCUUGGCACCGUUCUAAGAUGGGUCCUCUCUUCGUAGGCUAAUGCAUUGGCCCUUUUUGACCCGUUUUGGGGCGAAAACAAAAACUGACUCCCGGGCAUAUUUUUUUCGGCCUUUAUGGGCAGAGAACUUUAAUGCCGCUCAGAAUGAGGCCACCCAGUAGUUAGGUGUGAAUUUUCGAGACCUCUGGCACCGUUCUAAGAUGGGUCCUCUCUUCGUAGGCUAAUGCAUUGGCCCUUUUUGACCCGUUUUGGGGCGAAAACAAAAACUGACUCCCGGGCAUAUUUUUUUCGGCCUUUAUGGGCAGAGAACUUUAAUGCCGCUCAGAAUGAGGCCACCCAGUAGUUAGGUGUGAAUUUUCGAGACCUUUGGCACCGUUCUAAGAUGGGUCCUCUCUUCGUAGGCUAAUGCAUUGGCCCUUUUUGACCCGUUUUGGGGCGAAAACAAAAACUGACUCCCGGGCAUAUUUUUUUCGGCCUUUAUGGGCAGAGAACUUUAAUACCGCUCAGAAUGAGGCCACCCAGUAGUUAGGUGUGAAUUUUCGAGACCUCUGGCACCGUUCUAAGAUGGGUCCUCUCUUCGUAGGCUAAUGCAUUGGCCCUUUUUGACCCGUUUUGGGGCGAAAACAAAAACUGACUCCCGGGCAUAUUUUUUUCGGCCUUUAUGGGCAGAGAACUUUAAUGCCGCUCAGAAUGAGGCCACCCAGUAGUUAGGUGUGAAUUUUCGAGACCUCUGGCACCGUUCUAAGAUGGGUCCUCUCUUCGUAGGCUAAUGCAUUGGCCCUUUUUGACCCGUUUUGGGGCGAAAACAAAAACUGACUCCCGGGCAUAUUUUUUUCGGCCUUUAUGGGCAGAGAACUUUAAUACCGCUCAGAAUGAGGCCACCCAGUAGUUAGGUGUGAAUUUUCGAGACCUCUGGCACCGUUCUAAGAUGGGUCCUCUCUUCGUAGGCUAAUGCAUUGGCCCUUUUUGACCCGUUUUGGGGCGAAAACAAAAACUGACUCCCGGGCAUAUUUUUUUCGGCCUUUAUGGGCAGAGAACUCUUAAUAGCCGCUCAGAAAUGGCCAGGCCACCCAGUAGUUAGGUGUGAAUUUUCGAGACCUCUGGCACCGUUCUAAGAUGGGUCCUCUCUUCGUAGGCUAAUGCAUUGGCCCUUUUUGACCCGUUUUGGGGCGAAAACAAAAACUGACUCCCGGGCAUAUUUUUUUCGGCCUUUAUGGGCAGAGAACUUUAAUGCCGCUCAGAAUGAGGCCACCCAGUAGUUAGGUGUGAAUUUUCGAGACCUCUGGCACCGUUCUAAGAUGGGUCCUCUCUUCGUAGGCUAAUGCAUUGGCCCUUUUUGACCCGUUUUGGGGCGAAAACAAAAACUGACUCCCGGGCAUAUUUUUUUCGGCCUUUAUGGGCAGAGAACUUUAAUGCCGCUCAGAAUGAGGCCACCCAGUAGUUAGGUGUGAAUUUUCGAGACCUUUGGCACCGUUCUAAGAUGGGUCCUCUCUUCGUAGGCUAAUGCAUUGGCCCUUUUUGACCCGUUUUGGGGCGAAAACAAAAACUGACUCCCGGGCAUAUUUUUUUCGGCCUUUAUGGGCAGAGAACUUUAAUGCCGCUCAGAAUGAGGCCACCCAGUAGUUAGGUGUGAAUUUUCGAGACCUCUGGCACCGUUCUAAGAUGGGUCCUCUCUUCGUAGGCUAAUGCAUUGGCCCUUUUUGACCCGUUUUGGGGCGAAAACAAAAACUGACUCCCGGGCAUAUUUUUUUCGGCCUUUAUGGGCAGAGAACUUUAAUACCGCUCAGAAUGAGGCCACCCAGUAGUUAGGUGUGAAUUUUCGAGACCUUUGGCACCGUUCUAAGAUGGGUCCUCUCUUCGUAGGCUAAUGCAUUGGCCCUUUUUGACCCGUUUUGGGGCGAAAACAAAAACUGACUCCCGGGCAUAUUUUUUUCGGCCUUUAUGGGCAGAGAACUUUAAUACCGCUCAGAAUGAGGCCACCCAGUAGUUAGGUGUGAAUUUUCGAGACCUCUGGCACCGUUCUAAGAUGGGUCCUCUCUUCGUAGGCUAAUGCAUUGGCCCUUUUUGACCCGUUUUGGGGCGAAAACAAAAACUGACUCCCGGGCAUAUUUUUUUCGGCCUUUAUGGGCAGAGAACUUUAAUGCCGCUCAGAAUGAGGCCACCCAGUAGUUAGGUGUGAAUUUUCGAGACCUUUGGCCACCGUUCUAAGAUGGGUCCUCUCUUCGUAGGCUAAUGCAUUGGCCCUUUUUGACCCGUUUUGGGGCGAAAACAAAAACUGACUCCCGGGCAUAUUUUUUUCGGCCUUUAUGGGCAGAGAACUUUAAUACCGCUCAGAAUGAGGCCACCCAGUAGUUAGGUGUGAAUUUUCGAGACCUUUGGCACCGUUCUAAGAUGGGUCCUCUCUUCGUAGGCUAAUGCAUUGGCCCUUUUUGACCCGUUUUGGGGCGAAAACAAAAACUGACUCCCGGGCAUAUUUUUUUCGGCCUUUAUGGGCAGAGAACUUUAAUACCGCUCAGAAUGAGGCCACCCAGUAGUUAGGUGUGAAUUUUCGAGACCUUCUGGCACCGUUCUAAGAUGGGUCCUCUCUUCGUAGGCUAAUGCAUUGGCCCUUUUUGACCCGUUUUGGGGCGAAAACAAAAACUGACUCCCGGGCAUAUUUUUUUCGGCCUUUAUGGGCAGAGAACUUUAAUGCCGCUCAGAAUGAGGCCACCCAGUAGUUAGGUGUGAAUUUUCGAGACCUCUGGCACCGUUCUAAGAUGGGUCCUCUCUUCGUAGGCUAAUGCAUUGGCCCUUUUUGACCCGUUUUGGGGCGAAAACAAAAACUGACUCCCGGGCAUAUUUUUUUCGGCCUUUAUGGGCAGAGAACUUUAAUACCGCUCAGAAUGAGGCCACCCAGUAGUUAGGUGUGAAUUUUCGAGACCUUUGGCACCGUUCUAAGAUGGGUCCUCUCUUCGUAGGCUAAUGCAUUGGCCCUUUUUGACCCGUUUUGGGGCGAAAACAAAAACUGACUCCCGGGCAUAUUUUUUUCGGCCUUUAUGGGCAGAGAACUUUAAUGCCGCUCAGAAUGAGGCCACCCAGUAGUUAGGUGUGAAUUUUCGAGACCUUUGGCACCGUUCUAAGAUGGGUCCUCUCUUCGUAGGCUAAUGCAUUGGCCCUUUUUGACCCGUUUUGGGGCGAAAACAAAAACUGACUCCCGGGCAUAUUUUUUUCGGCCUUUAUGGGCAGAGAACUUUAAUACCGCUCAAAAUGAGGCCACCCAGUAGUUAGGUGUGAAUUUUCGAGACCUCUGGCACCGUUCUAAGAUGGGUCCUCUCUUCGUAGGCUAAUGCAUUGGCCCUUUUUGACCCGUUUUGGGGCGAAAACAAAAACUGACUCCCGGGCAUAUUUUUUUCGGCCUUUAUGGGCAGAGAACUUUAAUACCGCUCAAAAUGAGGCCACCCAGUAGUUAGGUGUGAAUUUUCGAGACCUUUGGCACCGUUCUAAGAUGGGUCCUCUCUUCGUAGGCUAAUGCAUUGGCCCUUUUUGACCCGUUUUGGGGCGAAAACAAAAACUGACUCCCGGGCAUAUUUUUUUCGGCCUUUAUGGGCAGAGAACUUUAAUGCCGCUCAGAAUGAGGCCACCCAGUAGUUAGGUGUGAAUUUUCGAGACCUUUGGCACCGUUCUAAGAUGGGUCCUCUCUUCGUAGGCUAAUGCAUUGGCCCUUUUUGACCCGUUUUGGGGCGAAAACAAAAACUGACUCCCGGGCAUAUUUUUUUCGGCCUUUAUGGGCAGAGAACUUUAAUACCGCUCAAAAUGAGGCCACCCAGUAGUUAGGUGUGAAUUUUCGAGACCUUUGGCACCGUUCUAAGAUGGGUCCUCUCUUCGUAGGCUAAUGCAUUGGCCCUUUUUGACCCGUUUUGGGGCGAAAACAAAAACUGACUCCCGGGCAUAUUUUUUUCGGCCUUUAUGGGCAGAGAACUUUAAUACCGCUCAAAAUGAGGCCACCCAGUAGUUAGGUGUGAAUUUUCGAGACCUUUGGCACCGUUCUAAGAUGGGUCCUCUCUUCGUAGGCUAAUGCAUUGGCCCUUUUUGACCCGUUUUGGGGCGAAAACAAAAACUGACUCCCGGGCAUAUUUUUUUCGGCCUUUAUGGGCAGAGAACUUUAAUACCGCUCAAAAUGAGGCCACCCAGUAGUUAGGUGUGAAUUUUCGAGACCUCUGGCACCGUUCUAAGAUGGGUCCUCUCUUCGUAGGCUAAUGCAUUGGCCCUUUUUGACCCGUUUUGGGGCGAAAACAAAAACUGACUCCCGGGCAUAUUUUUUUCGGCCUUUAUGGGCAGAGAACUUUAAUGCCGCUCAAAAUGAGGCCACCCAGUAGUUAGGUGUGAAUUUUCGAGACCUCUGGCACCGUUCUAAGAUGGGUCCUCUCUUCGUAGGCUAAUGCAUUGGCCCUUUUUGACCCGUUUUGGGGCGAAAACAAAAACUGACUCCCGGGCAUAUUUUUUUCGGCCUUUAUGGGCAGAGAACUUUAAUACCGCUCAGAAUGAGGCCACCCAGUAGUUAGGUGUGAAUUUUCGAGACCUUUGGCACCGUUCUAAGAUGGGUCCUCUCUUCGUAGGCUAAUGCAUUGGCCCUUUUUGACCCGUUUUGGGGCGAAAACAAAAACUGACUCCCGGGCAUAUUUUUUUCGGCCUUUAUGGGCAGAGAACUUUAAUACCGCUCAAAAUGAGGCCACCCAGUAGUUAGGUGUGAAUUUUCGAGACCUUUGGCACCGUUCUAAGAUGGGUCCUCUCUUCGUAGGCUAAUGCAUUGGCCCUUUUUGACCCGUUUUGGGGCGAAAACAAAAACUGACUCCCGGGCAUAUUUUUUUCGGCCUUUAUGGGCAGAGAACUUUAAUACCGCUCAAAAUGAGGCCACCCAGUAGUUAGGUGUGAAUUUUCGAGACCUUUGGCACCGUUCUAAGAUGGGUCCUCUCUUCGUAGGCUAAUGCAUUGGCCCUUUUUGACCCGUUUUGGGGCGAAAACAAAAACUGACUCCCGGGCAUAUUUUUUUCGGCCUUUAUGGGCAGAGAACUUUAAUACCGCUCAAAAUGAGGCCACCCAGUAGUUAGGUGUGAAUUUUCGAGACCUUUGGCACCGUUCUAAGAUGGGUCCUCUCUUCGUAGGCUAAUGCAUUGGCCCUUUUUGACCCGUUUUGGGGCGAAAACAAAAACUGACUCCCGGGCAUAUUUUUUUCGGCCUUUAUGGGCAGAGAACUUUAAUACCGCUCAAAAUGAGGCCACCCAGUAGUUAGGUGUGAAUUUUCGAGACCUUUGGCACCGUUCUAAGAUGGGUCCUCUCUUCGUAGGCUAAUGCAUUGGCCCUUUUUGACCCGUUUUGGGGCGAAAACAAAAACUGACUCCCGGGCAUAUUUUUUUCGGCCUUUAUGGGCAGAGAACUUUAAUACCGCUCAAAAUGAGGCCACCCAGUAGUUAGGUGUGAAUUUUCGAGACCUUUGGCACCGUUCUAAGAUGGGUCCUCUCUUCGUAGGCUAAUGCAUUGGCCCUUUUUGACCCGUUUUGGGGCGAAAACAAAAACUGACUCCCGGGCAUAUUUUUUUCGGCCUUUAUGGGCAGAGAACUUUAAUACCGCUCAAAAUGAGGCCACCCAGUAGUUAGGUGUGAAUUUUCGAGACCUUUGGCACCGUUCUAAGAUGGGUCCUCUCUUCGUAGGCUAAUGCAUUGGCCCUUUUUGACCCGUUUUGGGGCGAAAACAAAAACUGACUCCCGGGCAUAUUUUUUUCGGCCUUUAUGGGCAGAGAACUUUAAUACCGCUCAAAAUGAGGCCACCCAGUAGUUAGGUGUGAAUUUUCGAGACCUUUGGCACCGUUCUAAGAUGGGUCCUCUCUUCGUAGGCUAAUGCAUUGGCCCUUUUUGACCCGUUUUGGGGCGAAAACAAAAACUGACUCCCGGGCAUAUUUUUUUCGGCCUUUAUGGGCAGAGAACUUUAAUACCGCUCAAAAUGAGGCCACCCAGUAGUUAGGUGUGAAUUUUCGAGACCUUUGGCACCGUUCUAAGAUGGGUCCUCUCUUCGUAGGCUAAUGCAUUGGCCCUUUUUGACCCGUUUUGGGGCGAAAACAAAAACUGACUCCCGGGCAUAUUUUUUUCGGCCUUUAUGGGCAGAGAACUUUAAUACCGCUCAAAAUGAGGCCACCCAGUAGUUAGGUGUGAAUUUUCGAGACCUUUGGCACCGUUCUAAGAUGGGUCCUCUCUUCGUAGGCUAAUGCAUUGGCCCUUUUUGACCCGUUUUGGGGCGAAAACAAAAACUGACUCCCGGGCAUAUUUUUUUCGGCCUUUAUGGGCAGAGAACUUUAAUACCGCUCAAAAUGAGGCCACCCAGUAGUUAGGUGUGAAUUUUCGAGACCUUUGGCACCGUUCUAAGAUGGGUCCUCUCUUCGUAGGCUAAUGCAUUGGCCCUUUUUGACCCGUUUUGGGGCGAAAACAAAAACUGACUCCCGGGCAUAUUUUUUUCGGCCUUUAUGGGCAGAGAACUUUAAUACCGCUCAAAAUGAGGCCACCCAGUAGUUAGGUGUGAAUUUUCGAGACCUUUGGCACCGUUCUAAGAUGGGUCCUCUCUUCGUAGGCUAAUGCAUUGGCCCUUUUUGACCCGUUUUGGGGCGAAAACAAAAACUGACUCCCGGGCAUAUUUUUUUCGGCCUUUAUGGGCAGAGAACUUUAAUACCGCUCAAAAUGAGGCCACCCAGUAGUUAGGUGUGAAUUUUCGAGACCUUUGGCACCGUUCUAAGAUGGGUCCUCUCUUCGUAGGCUAAUGCAUUGGCCCUUUUUGACCCGUUUUGGGGCGAAAACAAAAACUGACUCCCGGGCAUAUUUUUUUCGGCCUUUAUGGGCAGAGAACUUUAAUACCGCUCAAAAUGAGGCCACCCAGUAGUUAGGUGUGAAUUUUCGAGACCUUUGGCACCGUUCUAAGAUGGGUCCUCUCUUCGUAGGCUAAUGCAUUGGCCCUUUUUGACCCGUUUUGGGGCGAAAACAAAAACUGACUCCCGGGCAUAUUUUUUUCGGCCUUUAUGGGCAGAGAACUUUAAUACCGCUCAAAAUGAGGCCACCCAGUAGUUAGGUGUGAAUUUUCGAGACCUUUGGCACCGUUCUAAGAUGGGUCCUCUCUUCGUAGGCUAAUGCAUUGGCCCUUUUUGACCCGUUUUGGGGCGAAAACAAAAACUGACUCCCGGGCAUAUUUUUUUCGGCCUUUAUGGGCAGAGAACUUUAAUACCGCUCAAAAUGAGGCCACCCAGUAGUUAGGUGUGAAUUUUCGAGACCUUUGGCACCGUUCUAAGAUGGGUCCUCUCUUCGUAGGCUAAUGCAUUGGCCCUUUUUGACCCGUUUUGGGGCGAAAACAAAAACUGACUCCCGGGCAUAUUUUUUUCGGCCUUUAUGGGCAGAGAACUUUAAUACCGCUCAAAAUGAGGCCACCCAGUAGUUAGGUGUGAAUUUUCGAGACCUUUGGCACCGUUCUAAGAUGGGUCCUCUCUUCGUAGGCUAAUGCAUUGGCCCUUUUUGACCCGUUUUGGGGCGAAAACAAAAACUGACUCCCGGGCAUAUUUUUUUCGGCCUUUAUGGGCAGAGAACUUUAAUACCGCUCAAAAUGAGGCCACCCAGUAGUUAGGUGUGAAUUUUCGAGACCUUUGGCACCGUUCUAAGAUGGGUCCUCUCUUCGUAGGCUAAUGCAUUGGCCCUUUUUGACCCGUUUUGGGGCGAAAACAAAAACUGACUCCCGGGCAUAUUUUUUUCGGCCUUUAUGGGCAGAGAACUUUAAUACCGCUCAAAAUGAGGCCACCCAGUAGUUAGGUGUGAAUUUUCGAGACCUUUGGCACCGUUCUAAGAUGGGUCCUCUCUUCGUAGGCUAAUGCAUUGGCCCUUUUUGACCCGUUUUGGGGCGAAAACAAAAACUGACUCCCGGGCAUAUUUUUUUCGGCCUUUAUGGGCAGAGAACUUUAAUACCGCUCAAAAUGAGGCCACCCAGUAGUUAGGUGUGAAUUUUCGAGACCUUUGGCACCGUUCUAAGAUGGGUCCUCUCUUCGUAGGCUAAUGCAUUGGCCCUUUUUGACCCGUUUUGGGGCGAAAACAAAAACUGACUCCCGGGCAUAUUUUUUUCGGCCUUUAUGGGCAGAGAACUUUAAUACCGCUCAAAAUGAGGCCACCCAGUAGUUAGGUGUGAAUUUUCGAGACCUUUGGCACCGUUCUAAGAUGGGUCCUCUCUUCGUAGGCUAAUGCAUUGGCCCUUUUUGACCCGUUUUGGGGCGAAAACAAAAACUGACUCCCGGGCAUAUUUUUUUCGGCCUUUAUGGGCAGAGAACUUUAAUACCGCUCAAAAUGAGGCCACCCAGUAGUUAGGUGUGAAUUUUCGAGACCUUUGGCACCGUUCUAAGAUGGGUCCUCUCUUCGUAGGCUAAUGCAUUGGCCCUUUUUGACCCGUUUUGGGGCGAAAACAAAAACUGACUCCCGGGCAUAUUUUUUUCGGCCUUUAUGGGCAGAGAACUUUAAUACCGCUCAAAAUGAGGCCACCCAGUAGUUAGGUGUGAAUUUUCGAGACCUUUGGCACCGUUCUAAGAUGGGUCCUCUCUUCGUAGGCUAAUGCAUUGGCCCUUUUUGACCCGUUUUGGGGCGAAAACAAAAACUGACUCCCGGGCAUAUUUUUUUCGGCCUUUAUGGGCAGAGAACUUUAAUACCGCUCAAAAUGAGGCCACCCAGUAGUUAGGUGUGAAUUUUCGAGACCUUUGGCACCGUUCUAAGAUGGGUCCUCUCUUCGUAGGCUAAUGCAUUGGCCCUUUUUGACCCGUUUUGGGGCGAAAACAAAAACUGACUCCCGGGCAUAUUUUUUUCGGCCUUUAUGGGCAGAGAACUUUAAUACCGCUCAAAAUGAGGCCACCCAGUAGUUAGGUGUGAAUUUUCGAGACCUUUGGCACCGUUCUAAGAUGGGUCCUCUCUUCGUAGGCUAAUGCAUUGGCCCUUUUUGACCCGUUUUGGGGCGAAAACAAAAACUGACUCCCGGGCAUAUUUUUUUCGGCCUUUAUGGGCAGAGAACUUUAAUACCGCUCAAAAUGAGGCCACCCAGUAGUUAGGUGUGAAUUUUCGAGACCUUUGGCACCGUUCUAAGAUGGGUCCUCUCUUCGUAGGCUAAUGCAUUGGCCCUUUUUGACCCGUUUUGGGGCGAAAACAAAAACUGACUCCCGGGCAUAUUUUUUUCGGCCUUUAUGGGCAGAGAACUUUAAUACCGCUCAAAAUGAGGCCACCCAGUAGUUAGGUGUGAAUUUUCGAGACCUUUGGCACCGUUCUAAGAUGGGUCCUCUCUUCGUAGGCUAAUGCAUUGGCCCUUUUUGACCCGUUUUGGGGCGAAAACAAAAACUGACUCCCGGGCAUAUUUUUUUCGGCCUUUAUGGGCAGAGAACUUUAAUACCGCUCAAAAUGAGGCCACCCAGUAGUUAGGUGUGAAUUUUCGAGACCUUUGGCACCGUUCUAAGAUGGGUCCUCUCUUCGUAGGCUAAUGCAUUGGCCCUUUUUGACCCGUUUUGGGGCGAAAACAAAAACUGACUCCCGGGCAUAUUUUUUUCGGCCUUUAUGGGCAGAGAACUUUAAUACCGCUCAAAAUGAGGCCACCCAGUAGUUAGGUGUGAAUUUUCGAGACCUUUGGCACCGUUCUAAGAUGGGUCCUCUCUUCGUAGGCUAAUGCAUUGGCCCUUUUUGACCCGUUUUGGGGCGAAAACAAAAACUGACUCCCGGGCAUAUUUUUUUCGGCCUUUAUGGGCAGAGAACUUUAAUACCGCUCAAAAUGAGGCCACCCAGUAGUUAGGUGUGAAUUUUCGAGACCUUUGGCACCGUUCUAAGAUGGGUCCUCUCUUCGUAGGCUAAUGCAUUGGCCCUUUUUGACCCGUUUUGGGGCGAAAACAAAAACUGACUCCCGGGCAUAUUUUUUUCGGCCUUUAUGGGCAGAGAACUUUAAUACCGCUCAAAAUGAGGCCACCCAGUAGUUAGGUGUGAAUUUUCGAGACCUUUGGCACCGUUCUAAGAUGGGUCCUCUCUUCGUAGGCUAAUGCAUUGGCCCUUUUUGACCCGUUUUGGGGCGAAAACAAAAACUGACUCCCGGGCAUAUUUUUUUCGGCCUUUAUGGGCAGAGAACUUUAAUACCGCUCAAAAUGAGGCCACCCAGUAGUUAGGUGUGAAUUUUCGAGACCUUUGGCACCGUUCUAAGAUGGGUCCUCUCUUCGUAGGCUAAUGCAUUGGCCCUUUUUGACCCGUUUUGGGGCGAAAACAAAAACUGACUCCCGGGCAUAUUUUUUUCGGCCUUUAUGGGCAGAGAACUUUAAUACCGCUCAAAAUGAGGCCACCCAGUAGUUAGGUGUGAAUUUUCGAGACCUUUGGCACCGUUCUAAGAUGGGUCCUCUCUUCGUAGGCUAAUGCAUUGGCCCUUUUUGACCCGUUUUGGGGCGAAAACAAAAACUGACUCCCGGGCAUAUUUUUUUCGGCCUUUAUGGGCAGAGAACUUUAAUACCGCUCAAAAUGAGGCCACCCAGUAGUUAGGUGUGAAUUUUCGAGACCUUUGGCACCGUUCUAAGAUGGGUCCUCUCUUCGUAGGCUAAUGCAUUGGCCCUUUUUGACCCGUUUUGGGGCGAAAACAAAAACUGACUCCCGGGCAUAUUUUUUUCGGCCUUUAUGGGCAGAGAACUUUAAUACCGCUCAAAAUGAGGCCACCCAGUAGUUAGGUGUGAAUUUUCGAGACCUCUUGGCACCGUUCUAAGAUGGGUCCUCUCUUCGUAGGCUAAUGCAUUGGCCCUUUUUGACCCGUUUUGGGGCGAAAACAAAAACUGACUCCCGGGCAUAUUUUUUUCGGCCUUUAUGGGCAGAGAACUUUAAUACCGCUCAAAAUGAGGCCACCCAGUAGUUAGGUGUGAAUUUUCGAGACCUCUGGCACCGUUCUAAGAUGGGUCCUCUCUUCGUAGGCUAAUGCAUUGGCCCUUUUUGACCCGUUUUGGGGCGAAAACAAAAACUGACUCCCGGGCAUAUUUUUUUCGGCCUUUAUGGGCAGAGAACUUUAAUGCCGCUCAAAAUGAGGCCACCCAGUAGUUAGGUGUGAAUUUUCGAGACCUCUGGCACCGUUCUAAGAUGGGUCCUCUCUUCGUAGGCUAAUGCAUUGGCCCUUUUUGACCCGUUUUGGGGCGAAAACAAAAACUGACUCCCGGGCAUAUUUUUUUCGGCCUUUAUGGGCAGAGAACUUUAAUACCGCUCAGAAUGAGGCCACCCAGUAGUUAGGUGUGAAUUUUCGAGACCUUCUGGCACCGUUCUAAGAUGGGUCCUCUCUUCGUAGGCUAAUGCAUUGGCCCUUUUUGACCCGUUUUGGGGCGAAAACAAAAACUGACUCCCGGGCAUAUUUUUUUCGGCCUUUAUGGGCAGAGAACUUUAAUACCGCUCAGAAUGAGGCCACCCAGUAGUUAGGUGUGAAUUUUCGAGACCUCUGGCACCGUUCUAAGAUGGGUCCUCUCUUCGUAGGCUAAUGCAUUGGCCCUUUUUGACCCGUUUUGGGGCGAAAACAAAAACUGACUCCCGGGCAUAUUUUUUUCGGCCUUUAUGGGCAGAGAACUUUAAUACCGCUCAGAAUGAGGCCACCCAGUAGUUAGGUGUGAAUUUUCGAGACCUUUGGCACCGUUCUAAGAUGGGUCCUCUCUUCGUAGGCUAAUGCAUUGGCCCUUUUUGACCCGUUUUGGGGCGAAAACAAAAACUGACUCCCGGGCAUAUUUUUUUCGGCCUUUAUGGGCAGAGAACUUUAAUGCCGCUCAGAAUGAGGCCACCCAGUAGUUAGGUGUGAAUUUUCGAGACCUUUGGCACCGUUCUAAGAUGGGUCCUCUCUUCGUAGGCUAAUGCAUUGGCCCUUUUUGACCCGUUUUGGGGCGAAAACAAAAACUGACUCCCGGGCAUAUUUUUUUCGGCCUUUAUGGGCAGAGAACUUUAAUGCCGCUCAGAAUGAGGCCACCCAGUAGUUAGGUGUGAAUUUUCGAGACCUCUGGCACCGUUCUAAGAUGGGUCCUCUCUUCGUAGGCUAAUGCAUUGGCCCUUUUUGACCCGUUUUGGGGCGAAAACAAAAACUGACUCCCGGGCAUAUUUUUUUCGGCCUUUAUGGGCAGAGAACUUUAAUACCGCUCAAAAUGAGGCCACCCAGUAGUUAGGUGUGAAUUUUCGAGACCUUUGGCACCGUUCUAAGAUGGGUCCUCUCUUCGUAGGCUAAUGCAUUGGCCCUUUUUGACCCGUUUUGGGGCGAAAACAAAAACUGACUCCCGGGCAUAUUUUUUUCGGCCUUUAUGGGCAGAGAACUUUAAUACCGCUCAAAAUGAGGCCACCCAGUAGUUAGGUGUGAAUUUUCGAGACCUCUGGCACCGUUCUAAGAUGGGUCCUCUCUUCGUAGGCUAAUGCAUUGGCCCUUUUUGACCCGUUUUGGGGCGAAAACAAAAACUGACUCCCGGGCAUAUUUUUUUCGGCCUUUAUGGGCAGAGAACUUUAAUACCGCUCAAAAUGAGGCCACCCAGUAGUUAGGUGUGAAUUUUCGAGACCUUUGGCACCGUUCUAAGAUGGGUCCUCUCUUCGUAGGCUAAUGCAUUGGCCCUUUUUGACCCGUUUUGGGGCGAAAACAAAAACUGACUCCCGGGCAUAUUUUUUUCGGCCUUUAUGGGCAGAGAACUUUAAUACCGCUCAGAAUGAGGCCACCCAGUAGUUAGGUGUGAAUUUUCGAGACCUUUGGCACCGUUCUAAGAUGGGUCCUCUCUUCGUAGGCUAAUGCAUUGGCCCUUUUUGACCCGUUUUGGGGCGAAAACAAAAACUGACUCCCGGGCAUAUUUUUUUCGGCCUUUAUGGGCAGAGAACUUUAAUACGCCGCUCAGAAUGAGGCCACCCAGUAGUUAGGUGUGAAUUUUCGAGACCUUUGGCACCGUUCUAAGAUGGGUCCUCUCUUCGUAGGCUAAUGCAUUGGCCCUUUUUGACCCGUUUUGGGGCGAAAACAAAAACUGACUCCCGGGCAUAUUUUUUUCGGCCUUUAUGGGCAGAGAACUUUAAUACCGCUCAGAAUGAGGCCACCCAGUAGUUAGGUGUGAAUUUUCGAGACCUUUGGCACCGUUCUAAGAUGGGUCCUCUCUUCGUAGGCUAAUGCAUUGGCCCUUUUUGACCCGUUUUGGGGCGAAAACAAAAACUGACUCCCGGGCAUAUUUUUUUCGGCCUUUAUGGGCAGAGAACUUUAAUACCGCUCAGAAUGAGGCCACCCAGUAGUUAGGUGUGAAUUUUCGAGACCUUUGGCACCGUUCUAAGAUGGGUCCUCUCUUCGUAGGCUAAUGCAUUGGCCCUUUUUGACCCGUUUUGGGGCGAAAACAAAAACUGACUCCCGGGCAUAUUUUUUUCGGCCUUUAUGGGCAGAGAACUUUAAUACCGCUCAAAAUGAGGCCACCCAGUAGUUAGGUGUGAAUUUUCGAGACCUUCUGGCACCGUUCUAAGAUGGGUCCUCUCUUCGUAGGCUAAUGCAUUGGCCCUUUUUGACCCGUUUUGGGGCGAAAACAAAAACUGACUCCCGGGCAUAUUUUUUUCGGCCUUUAUGGGCAGAGAACUUUAAUACCGCUCAAAAUGAGGCCACCCAGUAGUUAGGUGUGAAUUUUCGAGACCUCUGGCACCGUUCUAAGAUGGGUCCUCUCUUCGUAGGCUAAUGCAUUGGCCCUUUUUGACCCGUUUUGGGGCGAAAACAAAAACUGACUCCCGGGCAUAUUUUUUUCGGCCUUUAUGGGCAGAGAACUUUAAUACCCGCUCAGAAUGAGGCCACCCAGUAGUUAGGUGUGAAUUUUCGAGACCUUCUGGCACCGUUCUAAGAUGGGUCCUCUCUUCGUAGGCUAAUGCAUUGGCCCUUUUUGACCCGUUUUGGGGCGAAAACAAAAACUGACUCCCGGGCAUAUUUUUUUCGGCCUUUAUGGGCAGAGAACUUUAAUACCGCUCAAAAUGAGGCCACCCAGUAGUUAGGUGUGAAUUUUCGAGACCUCUGGCACCGUUCUAAGAUGGGUCCUCUCUUCGUAGGCUAAUGCAUUGGCCCUUUUUGACCCGUUUUGGGGCGAAAACAAAAACUGACUCCCGGGCAUAUUUUUUUCGGCCUUUAUGGGCAGAGAACUUUAAUACCGCUCAAAAUGAGGCCACCCAGUAGUUAGGUGUGAAUUUUCGAGACCUUUGGCACCGUUCUAAGAUGGGUCCUCUCUUCGUAGGCUAAUGCAUUGGCCCUUUUUGACCCGUUUUGGGGCGAAAACAAAAACUGACUCCCGGGCAUAUUUUUUUCGGCCUUUAUGGGCAGAGAACUUUAAUGCCGCUCAGAAUGAGGCCACCCAGUAGUUAGGUGUGAAUUUUCGAGACCUUUGGCACCGUUCUAAGAUGGGUCCUCUCUUCGUAGGCUAAUGCAUUGGCCCUUUUUGACCCGUUUUGGGGCGAAAACAAAAACUGACUCCCGGGCAUAUUUUUUUCGGCCUUUAUGGGCAGAGAACUUUAAUGCCGCUCAAAAUGAGGCCACCCAGUAGUUAGGUGUGAAUUUUCGAGACCUUUGGCACCGUUCUAAGAUGGGUCCUCUCUUCGUAGGCUAAUGCAUUGGCCCUUUUUGACCCGUUUUGGGGCGAAAACAAAAACUGACUCCCGGGCAUAUUUUUUUCGGCCUUUAUGGGCAGAGAACUUUAAUACCGCUCAAAAUGAGGCCACCCAGUAGUUAGGUGUGAAUUUUCGAGACCUUUGGCACCGUUCUAAGAUGGGUCCUCUCUUCGUAGGCUAAUGCAUUGGCCCUUUUUGACCCGUUUUGGGGCGAAAACAAAAACUGACUCCCGGGCAUAUUUUUUUCGGCCUUUAUGGGCAGAGAACUUUAAUGCCGCUCAAAAUGAGGCCACCCAGUAGUUAGGUGUGAAUUUUCGAGACCUUUGGCACCGUUCUAAGAUGGGUCCUCUCUUCGUAGGCUAAUGCAUUGGCCCUUUUUGACCCGUUUUGGGGCGAAAACAAAAACUGACUCCCGGGCAUAUUUUUUUCGGCCUUUAUGGGCAGAGAACUUUAAUACCCGCUCAGAAUGAGGCCACCCAGUAGUUAGGUGUGAAUUUUCGAGACCUUUGGCACCGUUCUAAGAUGGGUCCUCUCUUCGUAGGCUAAUGCAUUGGCCCUUUUUGACCCGUUUUGGGGCGAAAACAAAAACUGACUCCCGGGCAUAUUUUUUUCGGCCUUUAUGGGCAGAGAACUUUAAUACCGCUCAGAAAUGAGGCCACCCAGUAGUUAGGUGUGAAUUUUCGAGACCUUUGGCACCGUUCUAAGAUGGGUCCUCUCUUCGUAGGCUAAUGCAUUGGCCCUUUUUGACCCGUUUUGGGGCGAAAACAAAAACUGACUCCCGGGCAUAUUUUUUUCGGCCUUUAUGGGCAGAGAACUUUAAUACCGCUCAGAAAUGAGGCCACCCAGUAGUUAGGUGGGAAUUUUCGAGACCUUUGGCACCGUUCUAAGAUGGGUCCUCUCUUCGUAGGCUAAUGCAUUGGCCCUUUUUGACCCGUUUUGGGGCGAAAACAAAAACUGACUCCCGGGCAUAUUUUUUUCGGCCUUUAUGGGCAGAGAACUUUAACACCGCUCAAAAUGAGGCCACCCAGUAGUUAGGUGUGAAUUUUCGAGACCUUUGGCACCGUUCUAAGAUGGGUCCUCUCUUCGUAGGCUAAUGCAUUGGCCCUUUUUGACCCGUUUUGGGGCGAAAACAAAAACUGACUCCCGGGCAUAUUUUUUUCGGCCUUUAUGGGCAGAGAACUUUAAUACCGCUCAAAAUGAGGCCACCCAGUAGUUAGGUGUGAAUUUUCGAGACCUUUGGCACCGUUCUAAGAUGGGUCCUCUCUUCGUAGGCUAAUGCAUUGGCCCUUUUUGACCCGUUUUGGGGCGAAAACAAAAACUGACUCCCGGGCAUAUUUUUUUCGGCCUUUAUGGGCAGAGAACUUUAACACCGCUCAAAAUGAGGCCACCCAGUAGUUAGGUGGGAAUUUUCGAGACCUUUGGCACCGUUCUAAGAUGGGUCCUCUCUUCGUAGGCUAAUGCAUUGGCCCUUUUUGACCCGUUUUGGGGCGAAAACAAAAACUGACUCCCGGGCAUAUUUUUUUUCGGCCUUUAUGGGCAGAGAACUUUAACACCGCUCAAAAUGAGGCCACCCAGUAGUUAGGUGGGAAUUUUCGAGACCUUUGGCACCGUUCUAAGAUGGGUCCUCUCUUCGUAGGCUAAUGCAUUGGCCCUUUUUGACCCGUUUUGGGGCGAAAACAAAAACUGACUCCCGGGCAUAUUUUUC
rnacentral:lncRNA from 1 species